CGUGUUUUUUUAGAAGGUGGUUGGACAAAGCGGAUCGUGUUCACGAAGCGAUGCUUGACACGUAGUUGCACUGCAGUCACAAACCAAGAUGUGCCCGCCCGAUAAAGGAGUGAAGCUCUGCUGCUAGCACAGAUGUCGCCAUAGUCUCGAGGCACCGUCUGGCAAGGCGAGAGGCUCUGCUUGUAGCACAGACGCUACCAUAGUCCCGAGGCUCUGUCUGGCAAGACCAGAAGCUCUGCACCUAGCAGAUGCCGCCAUAGUCCCGAGGCACCGUCUGGCAAGGCUGCCCUCACGGCAAAACAGGUUUAAUUUUGGCAGACGCCUUUCGUCAAGCAUGGUAC